AUGGCACCGCAGACGGCUGCUUCAGUGCUUGGCUCUCCAGUGUUUGUACUGUUUUUGUUCGUUUUUCCUGUAUUUUGUUUAACAAACACGAUCAGUUUCACCAGGGAAGAACUGCUGAACAUUCGGCAGAACACACCACAAGAUCUUUUACCGGAUUUCAAUUAUUCAGACGUUUUACUGAACGUUGUUGUCGGCGGAGCAGCGGCGCUGAUCAAACGCUUCAGGACGCGCAAACGGGGGAAGCGAGCUGGUGCGCUCGUUAGACUCAGGAAGCGUGGAUUUCGAACGCCGUUGCCUAGCAUCCAUCUGGCAAAUCUCCGCUCUCUACCCAACAAAACGGACGAAAUCCUUCUGCUCUCUCGGACAAAUAAGGAUUUCUCACACUCUGCUGCUUUGUGUUUCACGGAAACCUGGCUCAAUGACGCCAUACCGGACAGUGCACUCCAUCUGCCGGGCUUACAGCUGUUCAGAGCGGAUCGCGACGCAGAAUCAACGGGGAAAUCGCGCGGCGGCGGGACAUGCUUUUACAUCAAUGAACGGUGGUGUACAGAUGUAACUUUGUUAAAGAAGAUGUGCUGCUCAGAUCUCGAAACACUCUUCAUUAACUGCAAGCCGUUCUAUUCGCCGCGGGAGUUUCACUCGUUCAUUCUGGUGAGUGUUAAUAUCCCUCCGCAAGCGCACGUAAGUCUGGCUUUACAUCCUGCUCUGCUUCAUUGGUCCAUCUUUUUACAGUCCUUAAUACAGGUUUAGCUGAUUUUAGUUUCCGCCUGUAGGUCGGUAUAAAAAGAACCAAACACUGAUAAGAACGUCCCAAAGCUGCCCGUGGAACAGAGUGAUAUGCAUCCUUUAUUGUGGUGUAACAGUGGUCCAAUAUCUUACUGUCUCUGGUGGGACAUGUGAUGUGCUGUCUGUAUUUUGGCAGUUCACAGGAGAGAUUGGCUUUAUUAAAGUCCCUGAGAAUGAUUAAAACAGAGUCCGAAUAGAACGGCUUGCAGUUAAUGAAUAGUGUUUCUAGAUCUGAACAACACAUCUUAUUUAACACUGUUACAUCUGUACUCCACCUUUCUUUGAUGUAAAAGCAUGUCCCACCGCCGCACAAUUUCCCUGUUGAUUCUGCGUCACGGUCCGCUCUGAACAGCUGAAAGCCUGCCAGAUGGAGCACACUGUCUGGAAUGGUGUCGUUUAGCCAAGUUUCCAUGAAACACAGAGCAGCAGAGUGUGAGAAAUCCUUAUUUGUCCGGGAGAGCAGAAGGAGUUUGUCCGUUUUGUUGGGUAGAGAGCGGAGAUUUGCCAGAUGGAUGCUAGGCAACGGCGUUCGAAAUCCGCGUGUUCUGAGUCUCACGUGCGCGCCAGCUUCUUUUCCCCGUCUGCGCAUCCUGAAGUGUGUGAUCAGCGCAGCUGCUCCGCCGACAAGAAUGUCCAGCAAAACAUCAGAAUAGUCGAAAACCGGUUAUAUAUCGAUAGAUGUGUGGUGCAGAAUGUCCAGCAAUUUGUCCCUGGUUAAACUGAUUGCAGGAAUAUAACUUAAGACAGGGCAAACUAACAAAAACACAAAAACAAAUGCAGAGCACGUCACUGAGGCAGCCAUCCUAUAUCGGCGCCAGCAAUGAAUAGAAUGCCAUUCUGGAAUGGUGGACACUGUGGGAUCACUGUGUUCCUCCUCCACGACUCCCACAGUAAAUAAAGAACCAUAUAAUCCAUUUAGGGUCAUGUACUGUAGUGGAAUAAGGGAGCCGAGUGGUUCAGAAAGCCCUCAACAAAACGUAUGACCCACAAAACAUUAAACAUGGAAAUUAAGUGUGCCAGUUCAAUAAAGUAAUUUACAUAAUCCUCAGUACUGUGAUCUCCUUGUUGGAGGCACAGAUUUGUGUGACUGGAUUCAUUUUUGCUGGACUGGAAAUACUCACAGAGCUACUGGAUCUAUGUUAAGCCUUUGAUGCUCGUUAAAGCCUCAACAAUGUGACAACAGAGUUGAGGAUCCAAAUGCAGCUUUAUUCCAAAGAGUAGUCAAAACAGACAGGGUCAAAAAAACAGCAGACAGGUACACUCCAGGAUGAGACAAAGAGAAAUCCAAUAAACAGGCGAAGGUCAGGGCAGGCAGCAAACAAUCAAAAUCAAGGUACACAGUCCAGAGAUCAAAAACCAUGAAGACAAGGAAACAGGGAAACUAGGAAACACAUGAAAAACACGUAAACUCUGAAACACUACAGGCUUAACAAUACUCAGCUAUGUGCGUGUGGAUGAGUGUAACCUUUAUAAAGCUCCUUAUAUGUGACAGUUGUGAACUGAUGAUGAGUCCAGGCAAAUGAUUAUGGGAAAUGGAGUCUGGCUUGAAUGGCAAAGGUACAGGAUGGAGUCUCCUCUUGUGGAGCUCGUGGGCACUCCAGCUGGUGAUUGUAACAAAUACAAGUAAAUGUUGACCUUGUGGGGACAUGUUUUGGUCCCCAUUGGGAAACAAGCUUAUAAAUCAUAUAGAUUUUUUUUUUUUUUUUUUUUUUAUGAAAAUCUAAAAAUGCAGAAAGUUUUGUGUAAGCUGUAGGUUUAGGGGUAGGGUUAUGGUAAGGGAUAGCAAAUAAAUUAUGUACAGUUUAAAACCAUAACAUCUGUGCAUUGUCCCCAUAAAACAUGGAAACUAGUGAGUAUGUGUGUGUGUGUCUGAACCAGGUUUUUCCUUACGUUGUUACGUGUGCAAGGCAGGAGAGAGCAGGGUACAACUGACCACCAUAAAUAGGGGUACAUUAGAUGAAGGUAUGGCACAGGACAAUGAACAUAGAGAUUAAGGAAGCAAACAAGAAGGAUAUCAAGGGGAACAGGUGGGACAAAUGAACCAAUAUACAGAUAACAAGAAGAGUGGGUCAAGACACUAGACAAGAGAACACAUGGUUCAUAACAAAAACACAACGAAAGCCACAUGCUCACACAUGACACCCAACCAGUGAGAACCCCUAUUAGCCAUGUUAACACAAAACAAGAUGACCAAAAGCAUGCAGCCAAUGAAAAGUCCCACAAACAGUAGUCUCAGUCUCAAAUGUCUAAUAUUUAAAUAUUAAUAUUAAAUAUUAAAUAUUAAAAGUUUGCAGCAUAGAAUCUUUAAAAUAUGUCAGAGAGUUUUACACACCGGUCUGUUAUUGUGGCGACAUUUCCACAAAUAAACUCUACCGAAGUUUCAGAUCCCUGAUAUUUUUAGGAUAGUUAUUUGAUUGGGCAAAUCAAUUGCCACCAAAUUAGACACUUAAUAAAAUUACAUUAAACAGCUUUUACUGGUCACAGUCUUCGACAAUGCAAUGUUAAUCUCACUUUUUCUUUGUGACGUUCAAACACAUGUAUGUUUUUAUAUGAUUAUAUUUUCAUGUUUAUAUGUUUAAACAACUGUGUACUGUGAAUGUGCCUAUAAACAACAAGGGAAUGAAGUAAGGAUCUACAAUGUGAAACAAAUCCAAACUUUGAACAACAAAAGAAACAGUGGAAUCAAGAAUGAACUGGAAGACAUGGGUGACAAAAUGCAAGAACCAAUCCAGAACAUAGGAAUCCACUAGAUCUACAUAAGAUUAACAAGCAACUAAACGAGACAAGUGAACAUAACCCAAAACCAUAGAAACAAUGGUUAAAACCCAUUUAAGCCCACCGGCAACUAUAGUUGCCGCAGUUUAUAGUUGUCAUUUUCCUUUUGCAAGUAUUUUUUCUAGAUGUUAUCCAUGUUUUAUUUCUCAAUGACAUGCAAGCAAACAACCAAAUAAAGGAUUUCAAGAAAAAAAAAUAAGGCAUUCACUUCCUUCCUGUUACAUGAGGCUGUUAAGUUCCUACCCCUAUAUACACAUACAUAAUCAUGGAGGUCUCUAGAAUCAUCCAAACAAAACAAAUCUUCCAGGAGAUCUAUAGUUUUUUUUUUUUUUGUAUACUUAGUCAAAUGUCCAAGCGGCAACUAUAGUUGCCGGUGGGCAAAUGACUUGUAAGUACAUAUCAUGGGGAAAUGGUGUAUACUGUGUUAACAGGUUAAUAAAUCAAGGUUAUUGGUCUUGUUUUCUGCCUUUUGUUUUCAUAAUAUCCCACCUAAAACAUAACUUUUAACAUACCUUUAACUGACAUCUCUACUGUACAGUAGACCUUAAUUUGAUAGGGAAUAAAUCUGUCAAAAGGAGGAGAUGAGAGCGCAAUCUUUCCACAGCUCUACUGCCCCACUUCUGUGUCUGCUUUUGCCAUGGUGGGUGGAGAUUUCCAGUUUUCGAGUGACUUCAGCAGUUUACAAACUUCAGGCAGUCACACAAAAGGAACAAUGGAAAGAUAAAGAGCUAACACAUGGGAUUAAUUGAUGCUGAUUAUCUUUUUCUCCCUUUUAUGACAUUAUGUCUCGUAAGGGGCAAAAUACUGAGGGCCCUUUAUCCAGUUUGGAUGCGUUUCAUUCUAAUUGGUCAAGGAACCUAAUUCAUUUUAUGACUAGUAGCUUAUGAUUCCAUUGUAAUGCUGAAAUUCAGACAAGUAAUGAAUUUACAUUUACAUUAUUAUAUUAAAUCACCUACUACAGUCAGCCAUUGAAUACUAUGGGCCUAUAAAAAAUGGGUAAUUUUCUUUCAGGUAUACCUUUUUUAUUAUAUAGAUGUAAUAUUUUCUUUAUUCUAUUUAUUUUUAUUUAUUUAUUUUUUAUUUAACUAACAUACUUUUAAGAAUGAAAUUACCUGCAUGUUCAAUAAUAAGUAAAUAAAUAAACAAACAAACAAUCAUGGGUGUAGCCUACACAUGAUAAUUAUUUAAAUAAUCAUAUUCUUUUAAAAAGAAUAUCAUUAAUUUCAUGAAUAUCAAGGACAUUUGUCAGGGUUAAUCCAUCUGACCUAAUCAAUAUGUACCUAUUCAUAAUAUAUGUGAUAUUUUACAUAUUUACAUCACAAAGUAUAGUAUGCAAAUAUGUUUUAUGUGAAUUUAUAAAACUACAUGUACCUUCACUGCAGUACUCCUAGUAGGCUACUUAUACGAAAACUGCUUACGUAAGGGAAAGUUCACCCAAAAAUGGAAAUUGUGCCAUCAUUGUGUCUUCUUAAAGUUGCAAAUUUUUGUUAAGCACAAAAGAAGAUAUUUUGCAGAAUGUUGGUAACCAAACAGUUAAAUGCAUAAUUUUCUUUCAGGUAUACCCUUUUUAUUAUUUUUAAUUAACUUACUGAUACACAAUAGAAGUGAAGUGAAGUGAAGUGACGUGACAUUCAGCCAAGUAUGGUGACCCAUACUCAGAAUUCGUGCUCUGCAUUUAACCCAUCCGAAGUGCACACACACAGAGCAGUGAACACACACACACACACUGUGAACACACACCCGGAGCAGUGGGCAGCCAUUUUAUGCUGCGGCGCCCGGGGAGCAGUUGGGGGUUCGAUGCCUUGCUCAAGGGCACCUAAGUCAUGGUAUUGAAGGUGGAGAGAGAACUGUACAUGCACUCCCCCCACCCACAAUUCCUGCCGGCCCGAGACUCGAACUCACAACCCUUCGAUUGGGAGUCCGACUCUCUAACCAUUAGGCCACGACUUCCCCAAUACCCUGUUGGGUCAACUUAAUGGCUGCUCUUUGUUCUGCAUUAUGUUCCACCAUUUUAAGACGGAUUUAUUGUGUUUUCAUAUUCAAGAUAUUAUCAACUAGAUGCAACGUUUUGGGGGGGUUUUCAUUGAUUGUUCUUUGACUUUUAUGCAUAUUUAAUUUGUUUAUGAAUAAAGAUCGAUCUGCUGAAAACAGUUAUUUUGAGUUAG
ensembl:lncRNA